CGGCUGUUGUAACAAACAUCACGUUAUAACGCCUAUUUAUAGCAUGACGAAGAUCUCUAUAAAAGGCGAAAUGAAAUCAGUUCAUUGUUCACAACGCUUUGUUAAGUGAAAUUUUUCUUUCAUUAACUUAAGGAGAAGAGUGUAAAUUUCAGCUAACCCAGAGGCAACAACACGUCAACACUCAACACCCAGAAUGAAUACAUUUUUGUGUUUUCUGAUAUUGGCUUGUUUUACUUAUCAUGGUCAAGCACUUGCUUGCCCCUGCAAAUAGGAGGAAUUUAAUGGCCGUUGCUAUUAUGUCAGCGAAAAUGUCGCACCAAAUUGGCUCUCUGCAAGGAGGAGCUGUCGUUCACAAGGUGGCGACU